AUUGAACGCUGGCGGCAGGCUUAACCCAUGCAAGUCGAACGAGUGGCGGACGGGUGAGUAAUGCUUGGGAAUCUGGCUUAUGGAGGUGGAUAACUCCGGGAAACUGUCGCUAAUACCGCGUACCAUAGGAUGAUCCCAUGUGAGAUUAGGUAGUUGGUGGGGUAAUGGACUACCAAGCAGACGAUCUCUAGCUGGUCUGCGAGGAUGACCAGACAGACCGGAACUGAGAAACGGCCCGGACUCGUACGGGAGGCAGCAGUGGGGAAUAUUGCGCAAUGGGGGAAAGGUGACGCAGCCAUGCCGCGUGAAUGAAGAAGGCCGUCGGGUUGUAAAGUACUUUCGGUGACGAGGCGUUAAUCACAGAAGAAGCACCGGCGAACUCCGUGCCAGCAGCCGCGGUAAUUC
rnacentral:rRNA from 1 species